GACGAACGCUGGCGGCGUGCUUAACACAUGCAAGUCGAACGGAAAGGCCCUGCUUUUGUGGGGUGCUCGAGUGGCGAACGGGUGAGUAACACGUGAGUAACCUGCCCUUGACUUUGGGAUAACUUCAGGAAACUGGGGCUAAUACCGGAUAGGAGCUCCUGCUGCAUGGUGGGGGUUGGAAAGUUUCGGCGGUUGGGGAUGGACUCGCGGCUUAUCAGCUUGUUGGUGGGGUAGUGGCUUACCAAGGCUUUGACGGGUAGCCGGCCUGAGAGGGUGACCGGCCACAUUGGGACUGAGAUACGGCCCAGACUCCUACGGGAGGCAGCAGUGGGGAAUAUUGCACAAUGGGCGGAAGCCUGAUGCAGCAACGCCGCGUGCGGGAUGACGGCCUUCGGGUUGUAAACCGCUUUCGCCUGUGACGAAGCGUGAGUGACGGUAAUGGGUAAAGAAGCACCGGCUAACUACGUGCCAGCAGCCGCGGUGAUACGUAGGGUGCGAGCGUUGUCCGGAUUUAUUGGGCGUAAAGGGCUCGUAGGUGGUUGAUCGCGUCGGAAGUGUAAUCUUGGGGCUUAACCCUGAGCGUGCUUUCGAUACGGGUUGACUUGAGGAAGGUAGGGGAGAAUGGGAUUCCUGGUGGAGCGGUGGAAUGCGCAGAUAUCAGGAGGAACACCAGUGGCGAAGGCGGUUCUCUGGGCCUUUCCUGACGCUGAGGAGCGAAAGCGUGGGGAGCGAACAGGCUUAGAUACCCUGGUAGUCCACGCUGUAAACGGUGGGUACUAGGUGUGGGGUCCAUUCCACGGGUUCCGUGCCGUAGCUAACGCUUUAAGUACCCCGCCUGGGGAGUACGGCCGCAAGGCUAAAACUCAAAGGAAUUGACGGGGCCCCGCACAAGCGGCGGAGCAUGCGGAUUAAUUCGAUGCAACGCGUAGAACCUUACCUGGGUUUGACAUGGAUCGGGAGUGCUCAGAGAUGGGUGUGCCUCUUUUGGGGUCGGUUCACAGGUGGUGCAUGCCUGUCGUCAGCUCGUGUCGUGAGAUGUUGGGUUAAGUCCCGCAACGAGCGCAACCCUUGUUCACUGUUGCCAGCACGUUAUGGUGGGGACUCAGUGGAGACCGCCGGGGUCAACUCGGAGGAAGGUGGGGAUGACGUCAAGUCCUCAUGCCCCUUAUGUCCAGGGCUUCACGCAUGCUACAAUGGCUGGUACAGAGAGUGGCGAGCCUGUGAGGGUGAGCGAAUCUCGGAAAGCCGGUCUCAGUUCGGAUUGGGGUCUGCAACUCGACCUCAUGAAGUCGGAGUCGCUAGUAAUCGCAGAUCAGCAACGCUGCGGUGAAUACGUUCCCGGG
rnacentral:rRNA from 1 species